rnacentral:rRNA from 1 species
GACGAACGCUGGCGGCGUGCUUAACACAUGCAAGUCGAACGGGUCUGCCCUGUUUUUUGCGGGGUGGGUCAGUGGCGAACGGGUGAGUAACACGUGAGUAACCUGCCCCUCACUUCUGGAUAACCGCUUGAAAGGGUGGCUAAUACGGGGUGUUCUGGCUGUGCCGCAUGGUGUGGCUGGGAAAGAUUCACUUUUGUGGUGUUUUGGUGGGGGAUGGGCUCGCGGCCUAUCAGCUUGUUGGUGGGGUGAUGGCCUGCCAAGGCUUUGACGGGUAGCCGGCCUGAGAGGGUGGGCGGUCACACUGGGACUGAGAUACGGCCCAGACUCCUGCGGGAGGCAGCAGUGGGGGGUAUUGCACAAUGGGCGGAAGCCUGAUGCAGCGACGUCGCGUGAGGGAUGGAGGCCUGCGGGUUGUGAACCUCUUUCGCCGGUGAGGAAGGUCCUGCUCUUUGUGGUGGGGUUGACGGUAGCCGGGUUAUGAAGCGCCGGCUAACUACGUG